GAUGUUUACUGUGAGAACCUGUUAGAGUCUCUGGAGAUUAAAUCCCACAAAACUGUAGGGGCUCCCCUAUAACUGGAUAUCCCUGGAGCUGUUAGCUGUCAAAGUUGUUCACUCUGAGCCUCAAGCAGUUAAUCAGUUAUAACUCAGGUUUUCCUACUCUGGCGUGGAUUCCUGUUGUACUUUUCCCCUGUGAAUCUCUGCUCAGGAUUAUUAUGCUGUAUUGAUUUUAUGGAACCAUUCUUCAAGCAAUUAUACUGCAAUAUUAAAUUUUCAAAAUACCCUUAGCCAUCAUGGUACAACAAAGCAGUGUAUUCACUCUUGUUGGUGAGAAAAAAUCAUUUGAUGCUGUAUAAACAUGGACUGUAGCACACCAGGCUCCUCUGUCCAUGGAAUUCUCCAAGCAAGAAUAGUGGAGUGGGUAGCCAUCCACUUCUCCAGGGGAUCUUGCCAAUCCAGGGAUCGGGAUCGAACCUGGGUCUCCAGCACUUCAAGCAGACUCUUUACUC
ensembl:lncRNA